ACCAGCAGUUCCCAUCCUCUCUCAGCCUGCCAAUACUUCUCGGUGCAUUGUACGAUCUGUGUCUGAGAACGUUAACCUGCAGUGAAAGUGUUCGCUAAUAGAAUGUGCUGCUUAGCAAAUGCCGAAACACUGAGGAUUUCAACAGAGCACUCUCGCUUUAAAAGUGCUUAGAAGCAAACUGAAAGUGGAAGGUCAGGAAUCACAGGCGCUGGGAAGGACCUGGACGCGUGGUGUACCUGGGGACACUGUCUCACAGCUCUGCAUUUGUAUUUGUUAAUUAAGUACUGACAAGUGAGUAGCAGCAAGUGCAGCAAUAUCGUGUUUGCGGACAGAAGCCCCUUUGGAGCCUGAGCCCGUCUGUCUCAGGACAGACACACAGCACAUGCUGCAGGAGGUAUCCAGGAAGGUGACGAGUGGGGAUUCAGAAAACAGGAGCGGCGCUUCUGAUGGACAAGAAGCGUCGUCCAUACUGAUUGACUGUUGGCAUGCGACUUACCACUGAGCAACUGCAUCUACACUGAUGCUAUGUUUAAAACCAUGCAUCCCCUGAGGUUAGUAACAUAUCUUCAGACAUAAAUUAAGUUGUUGAAGAGACAGCCUCAUAUAUUAGCAGAUCCAGUCUCUCAUAUUCUUGAAAACAAAUCACUUUAUUUUGAGAAGCAUGCUGCUGCUGUUUGGAUAAAAUAUCUGGUGUUAUUUUCUUCUUAAUGUUUUUUUUUUCUUUAUAUCAUAUAGGUCUGCUUUCUCCUUGAAGAGAUACCAAGCUGUCAUGAGGCAAGUGUCUUAAGCACCCAAUUCUGUGAUAACAUAAAGGAAAGUCUAAAGUUUUAUGUAUCUUAACGUUAUGCAGUGUAAGUAAUUCUACUGCCUUCAUAUCAUAGUAUGAAGGAUAUGGAAGUUUUAUUCUGAGAAAUG
rnacentral:lncRNA from 1 species